CCUACGGGAGGCAGCAGUGAGGAAUAUUGGUCAAUGGGCGUAAGCCUGAACCAGCCAAGUCGCGUGAGGGAAGACUGCCCUACGGGUUGUAAACCUCUUUUGUCAGGGAGCAACGCCGGCUACGUGUAGCCGGACUGAGAGUACCCGGAGAAAAAGCAUCGGCUAACUCCGUGCCAGCAGCCGCGGUAAUACGGAGGAUGCGAGCGUUAUCCGGAUUGAUUGGGUUUACAGGGUGCGUAGGCGGAAUGCCAAGUCAGCGGUAAAGUUGCGGGGCUCAACCGCUCUCCGCCGUUGAAACUGGCGUUCUUGAGUGGAAGAGAAGCAUGCGGAAUGCGUGGUGUAGCGGUGAAAUGCAUAGAUAUCACGCAGAACUCCGAUUGCGAAGGCAGCAUGCCGGCGCCCAACUGACGCUGAAGCACGAAAGCGUGGGGAUCGAACAGGAUUAGAUACCCCUGUAGUC
rnacentral:rRNA from 1 species